rnacentral:rRNA from 1 species
GACGAACGCUGGCGGCGUGCUUAACACAUGCAAGUCGAACGGAAAGGCCCUGCUUUUGUGGGGUGCUCGAGUGGCGAACGGGUGAGUAGCACGUGAGUAACCUGCCCUUGACUUUGGGAUAACUUCAGGAAACUGGGGCUAAUACCGGAUAGGAGCUCCUGCUGCAUGGUGGGGGUUGGAAAGUUUCGGCGGUUGGGGAUGGACUCGCGGCUUAUCAGCUUGUUGGUGGGGUAGUGGCUUACCAAGGCUUUGACGGGUAGCCGGCCUGAGAGGGUGACCGGCCACAUUGGGACUGAGAUACGGCCCAGACUCCUACGGGAGGCAGCAGUGGGGAAUAUUGCACAAUGGGCGGAAGCCUGAUGCAGCAACGCCGCGUGCGGGAUGACGGCCUUCGGGCUGUAAACCGCUUUCGCCUGCGACGAAGCGUGAGUGACGGUAAUGGGUAAAGAAGCACCGGCUAACUACGUG